rnacentral:lncRNA from 1 species
GCCCCCCCCAGACCAGCACAGCCCCCCACGGACCAGCACAGCUGCCCACAGACUAAGGGAGGCCCCUCACCUGAGCUGCUGGAUGGCCAGCUGCAGCAAGGAGAAAGCUGGACUGCGGUCCCUCAGGCACCUGCCAGGUGCUGUCCGGCCUCUCCCUCCCCCUCGGUUAGUCACCACCCACCUCCACCCGGACCUCACCAGGCAGGUGACAGAGCCUGGGAAAGGAGUCCCCUGUGAGCUGGCACUGCCCACCCCCGUCCACAGACUGGCCAACAGAGGUUUAGUGGGGUUGAGUUCAGGCCCCUGCCUAGGGGGUCAUCCCCCACUAUCUAGGUUCACACUCUACCCCCCCCACCACCCCCUCGGUUAGUCACCACCCACCUCCACCUGGACCUCACCAGGCAGGUGACAGAGCCUGGGAAAGGAGUCCCCUGUGAGCUGGCACUGCCCACCCCCGUCCACAGACUGGCCAACAGAGGUUUAGUGGGGUUGAGUUCAGGCCCCUGCCUAGGGGGUCAUCCCCCACUAUCUAGGUUCACACUCUACCCCCCCCACCACCACCCAGGGUCAUCUGUUACCUGCUGCCCAAGGUGGCCCCUGCCCCACCUGCCCCACUCGGUGACCGGUGACCGCGCAGCUGGGCCCCCACCUGUCCCUUGAGGCUGCUCAGACUUUGCCCUCUAACCCCGCCCUCCCCCAGCAGGAAGCUGGGUGCUGGGCUCAGGUUCAGGGCAGGUCGGAGUCUGGUGACCCAGGGCUUGGCUAGAGCAAAGGCCGGAGGAGGCCCGACCAGCCCGCGUCCGGGGAGGAGGGUGAGGUUCAGCUCCUUAGCGCUGCUGUGUUUGGUUGUGUCAGGCAUGCGAUAAAAUCGCCCCGUUUCUGUGCACGUGUGUAGACUCGAACACCCCCCAGUCCGAAUUACCUGGCACCCCUCCCAUGCCCCCUGGGGUUGCACCCUGCCCCCACCGGCCCCAGGGCGCCAACGAUGACCUCUGGUCACAGUCUCUGGGAGAAGGCCACACACGGGGGAGAGCCAGAGCCUGGGAGGCAAAGCGCAAGGCCCAGCAGCCACCACGGGCUCCCCAGUCCCUCCUCUGGGCCGAGGCAGUCCGUCUAGACGCGCCGUGGUUUGCGUGGCCUGCCCCUGUCAAGGCAUCUAGGGACCUCCCGCUCGGACUGCAAAGAGCUGCUGAGACCUCCUGGAGUGAAUUCUUUCACCGCCCGCCCCACCGGCUUCCACCCCACCGGGGGACCCCCCGUUGGGGGCCCCCAUCCGAUCGGGAGAGACACCACAUUCAGACGCCACAAGUUCUUCCUACGUUCCAGACCUGCCCUCCGUCACGCGUGUGUUUGCGAGGUUUCUCUCAGGGUCCUGAAGAUUGGUUUUUCCUGGAAGCUUUGCGGUUCGGUGACGCGCUCUGCAGUCCCUAG